rnacentral:rRNA from 1 species
AGAGUUUGAUCCUGGCUCAGAUUGAACGCUGGCGGCAUGCCUUACACAUGCAAGUCGAACGGCAGCACGGGAGCAAUCCUGGUGGCGAGUGGCGAACGGGUGAGUAAUAUAUCGGAACGUGCCCAGUCGUGGGGGAUAACGCAGCGAAAGCUGUGCUAAUACCGCAUACGAUCUCUGGAUGAAAGCGGGGGACCGCAAGGCCUCGCGCGAUUGGAGCGGCCGAUAUCAGAUUAGCUAGUUGGUGGGGUAAAAGCCCACCAAGGCGACGAUCUGUAGCUGGUCUGAGAGGACGACCAGCCACACUGGAACUGAGACACGGUCCAGACUCCUACGGGAGGCAGCAGUGGGGAAUUUUGGACAAUGGGCGCAAGCCUGAUCCAGCAAUGCCGCGUGCAGGAUGAAGGCCUUCGGGCUGUAAACUGCUUUUGUACGGAACGAAACGGCUCUUUCUAAUAAAGGGGGCUAAUGACGGUACCGUAAGAAUAAGCACCGGCUAACUACGUGCCAGCAGCCGCGGUAACACGUAGGGUGCGAGCGUUAAUCGGAAUUACUGGGCGUAAAGCGCGCGCAGGCGGUAAUGUAAGACAGAUGUGAAAUCCCCGGGCUUAACCUGGGACCUGCAUUUGUGACUGCAUUGCUGGAGUGCGGCAGAGGGGGAUGGAAUUCCGCGUGUAGCAGUGAAAUGCGUAGAUAUGCGGAGGAACACCGAUGGCGAAGGCAAUCCCCUGGGCCUGCACUGACGCUCAUGCACGAAAGCGUGGGGAGCAGACAGGAUUAGAUACCCUGGUAGUCCACGCCCUAAACGAUGUCAACUGGUUGUUGGGUCUUCACUGACUCAGUAACGAAGCUAACGCGUGAAGUUGACCGCCUGGGGAGUACGGCCGCAAGGUUGAAACUCAAAGGAAUUGACGGGGACCCGCACAAGCGGUGGAUGAUGUGGUUUAAUUCGAUGCAACGCGAAAAACCUUACCCACCUUUGACAUGUACGGAAUUUGCCAGAGAUGGCUUAGUGCUCGAAAGAGAGCCGUAACACAGGUGCUGCAUGGCUGUCGUCAGCUCGUGUCGUGAGAUGUUGGGUUAAGUCCCGCAACGAGCGCAACCCUUGUCAUUAGUUGCUACAUUUAGUUGGGCACUCUAAUGAGACUGCCGGUGAUAAACCGGAGGAAGGUGGGGAUGACGUCAAGUCCUCAUGGCCCUUAUAGGAGGGGCUACACACGUCAUACAAUGGCUGGUACAAAGGGUUGCCAACCCGCGAGGGGGAGCUAAUCCCAUAAAACCAGUCGUAGUCCGGAUCGCAGUCUGCAACUCGACUGCGUGAAGUCGGAAUCGCUAGUAAUCGUGGAUCAGAAUGUCACGGUGAAUACGUUCCCGGGUCUUGUACACACCGCCCGUCACACCAUGGGAGCGGGUUCUGCCAGAAGUAGUUAGCCUAACCGCAAGGAGGGCGAUUACCACGGCAGGGUUCGUGACUGGGGUGAAGUCGUAACAAGGUA